rnacentral:rRNA from 1 species
UACGGGGGGGGCAAGCGUUGUUCGGAAUUACUGGGCGUAAAGGGCUCGUAGGCGGCCAACUAAGUCGGAUGUGAAAUCCCCAGGCUUAACCUGGGAAUUGCAUCCGAUACUGGAUGGCUUGAAUCCGGGAGAGGGAUGCGGAAUUCCAGGUGUAGCGGUGAAAUGCGUAGAUAUCAGGAGGAACACCGGUGGCGAAGGCGGCUAUCUGGACAGAGUCUGACGCUGAUGCGCGAAAGCUAGGGGAGCAAACAGG